ensembl:snoRNA
AUCCUUUUGUAGUUCAUAAGUGUGAUGCUUGAGUCUUCCCACUCAUGUGUGAGAUGUACCUCACUCAAACGUUGGCACAUUACCAAUCCGAUG